CUCUAUUCCAAACUGAAAAAUUUAAAGUGUAAUGCUGGUGGUCAACAAAAGAGGUUUAAAGACUCUCUCAAGGCAAACCUUAAAAAUGUAGCAUAAACACCGACAACUGGGAAACACUGGCCUGCAAGCGCUCCAAUUGGAGAACAGCCUUGACCAAAGGUGUCAUGGGCUUUGAAGACACUCAAACUCAGGACACAAGGGAGAAACGUGCUAAGAGGAAGAGACGCUGGGCAAAUCCACACUGUGAUCAACUCCUGCCUGGGAACCAAUAUCCCCACUGUUUUUAAAACUUGGCAAAGGAGAUUCAGGAGUCUGAGAAAAAUAAGAUAGUUGAAGUAAGGAGGCAUGAGUAGGGAACAGAGGCUAUAAUGCAGUCAUUGGAGGUGAGGUUGGUGGAGAUCCAAUGGUGGGGCCUUAUCAUUGAUGACUCCUUAUAUUUGAAAUGGUCUCCUGAGGUAGGUAGGCAUGCCAGAUUCUGACUUUUUUCAGCUCCAGGUAAAAACUUUUAUUUUUUAAGAUACUGUUUUAAAUACUUUGUUCAGGUUUUGAUCAUACUUUUAGAAGACAUCUGAAGGCAGCCCUGUUUAGGGAAGUUUUUAAUGUUUAAUGCUGGAUGUUGUUUUUAAUAUUGGAAGCUGCCCAGAGUGGCUGGGAAAACCCAGCCAGAUGGGCAAGUAAAAAUAAUAAAUUAUUAUUAAAAAUAUCUAGACUUUAAAGAGGUUGAAAACCUCUUUAAAAUGUAUAAAAUAUUGCUUAAGUGGAAAAUGAAAGAAGAGCUAGUGAAAUCAUCUAUGAUAAAUUGGCCAAUGGAUGUGGGUGAGAAUAUUGAUUUAAAUUUGUGGAAGCAAUUGGGGGGGGGGAUCAAAUUCACUGCCAGCUAUGCUAUUUUUUUUAAAAAAACACAAGUUCAUGGUUAGCCCAUUCUACAAAAAAAGCAUGAUUAUUAUUAUUAUUAUUACAGUGGUGCCUCGCAAGACGAAAUUAAUCCGUUCCGCGAGUCUCUUCGUCUUGCGGUUUUUUUGUCUUGCAAAGCACGGCUAUUAGCGGCUUAACGGCUUAGCGGCUAUUAACGGCUUAGCGGCUUUAGGAAAAAGGAAACAAACUUGCAAGAACUCGCAAGACGUUUCGUCUUGUGAAGCAAGCCCAUAGGGAAAUUCGUCUUGCGAGGCAUUCGUCUUGCGAGGCACCACUUUAUAUGAUACAUGUGUUAGUUGUGGUUUGCAUGCUAUGGCCUAUUGAACCUACCAAGGUACAAAAUGACAAAAAAUCACUUUGAAUGGUUGGUGACGUUUUUCUGUCCAUUUUUAUACCUUAUUUUAAAAGAGAAAAAAAUUGCUUUAUUUUGAUACCAAAGUAAGCCCAAUUAGUUGAAAAAUAAGCAUAACAAGAGCUUUUUUCUAAACUGAUGCAGAAAUUGCAUUAGCCUAAAUCGCAUGAGGGGAUGCGGGUGGCGCUGUUGUUUAAACCACUGAGGCUAGGGCUUCCUGAUCAGAAGGUCGGAGGUUCGAAUCCCCGCGAUGGGGUGUGCUCCCGUUGCUCAGUCCCAGCUCCUGCCAACCUAGCAGUUCGAAAGCACAUCAAAAGUGCAAGUAGAUAAAUAGGUACCGCUCCGGUGGGAAGGUAAACGGCGUUUCCGUGCGCUGCUCUGGUUCGCCAGAAGCGGCUUAGUCAUGCUGGCCACACGACCUGGAAAAACUGUCUGCAGACAAACGCCGGCUCCCAGUAAAGUGAGAUGAACGCCACAAUCCGAGUCGUCUGCGACUGGACUUAACUGUCAGGGGUCCUUUACCUUUUUUACCUUUUUUAAAUGGCAUGAAAAUAGGAAUUUUCAAAAAUUUAUCCUGCACCGAAUUUUGAACCAAAAAAAUCUUAAAACAUUAUUUUGAGAUUAUCUCAUAGAUAUCUCAUGGCACCAGAUGAUUUGGCGUGGAAUGACCCCAACAGACUAGCCAAAAUGUUUAGAUAUAAAAGUGAAACCAUACUGGCCCGAAUAUAAACUACACCUUUAAAAUUUGGGACGGAGGAGAAAAAAAAUGGCAAUACCCGAAUAUAAGUCACUCACUUAAAAUUCUGCACGCACUCACACCCAUAAAUGGCAAAUAUAGAAGAAAAGCCUACGGGUCUAAUUCCCUGCACUCCCGGGCUUCUUCCUGGAGGGGGGGAGCCGCACCACGUUGCCGGUGGCCUCCCCCCCUUUCAUUUUGAUAGCUAAGGAGAGGCUUGGAAGGAGUGGGCAGGGUGCCUGCCGUUGCCUUGCGCUCCUGGGCUGCUUUCUGGAGGGGGGAGCCAGGCCCCUUUGACAGCAGCCUUCACUCUUUUUUUCAGCGGUUCGCGGGAGGUUUGGGAGCCACAGUUGGGACAGGCGUUGUUGUCACACACCUCCAAUGGCUCUCCUAGGCCGCUGUUUCAACAGUGAUAUCUUAAGGCAGUGGUCCUCAACCUUCCUAAUGCCACGACCCUUUAAUACAGUUCCUCAUGUUGUGACCCCCAACCAUAAAAUUAUUUUCGUUGAUACUUCAUAACUGUAAUUUUGCUACUGUUAUGAAUCGUAAUGUAAAUAUCUGAUAUGCAGGAUGUAUUUUCAUUAUUACAAAUUGAACAUAAUUAAAGCAUAGUGAUUAAUCGCAAAAACAAUAUGUAAUUAUAUAUUGUGAAAUACUUAUUUCUAAUUACAAAUAAAUGAAAUUUUGUCUUGAAGCAUGGUGUAGCAUGAGUAACAGUCUUAAUAUAACAACAGUAAACUACAUUGCUACAUUUUGUAACAGUAUUUGUAAAAAGCCAACAUCAGUGUAUAGGUUGAGAUAGCUUCUUUCUCACCAGAUCAUAAAUUCUCAGGGCAGUCUUUGCAAGAGCACAACGAAGAUCAUCUUCCACAACAAGUCUACUUCUGUAGACUUGAUAACCAACAAGCUGGAAAACCCUGUUUCACAAAGAUAUGUUGUUGGAAACGGAAGAAGGCGCAAC